AUUGAACGCUGGCGGCAGGCCAACACAUGCAAGUCGAGCGGAUGAGAGGAGCUUGCUUCUCGAUUCAGCGGCGGACGGGUGAGUAAUGCCUAGGAAUCUGCCUGGUAGUGGGGGAUAACGUUCGGAAACGGAUGCUAAUACCGCAUACGUCCUACGGGAGACAGUGGGGGAUCUUCGGCCCUCACGCUAUCAGAUGAGCCUAGGUCGGAGUAGCUAGUUGGUGGGGUAAAGGCUCACCAAGGCGACGAUCCGUAACUGGUCUGAGAGGAUGAUCAGGCACACUGGAACUGAGACACGGUCCAGACUCCUACGGGAGGCAGCAGUGGGGAAUAUUGGACAAUGGGCGAAAGCCUGAUCCAGCCAUGCCGCGUGUGUGAAGAAGGUCUUCGGAUUGUAAAGCACUUUAAGUUGGGAGGAAGGGCAGCUAGUUAAUACCUGGUUGUUUUGACGUUACCAACAGAAUAAGCACCGGCUAACUUCGUGCCAGCAGCCGCAGUAAAAC
rnacentral:rRNA from 1 species